GGUCUUGAGAGUUUGAUGUUCCAAGUCCACUCACCAUUAGACCUAUACCCGAAUUCAAUGACCUUUCCUUCUUUUUGAUUGCUAAAGCAAAAAUCCUAGGGAAACGGAGCUGUAACGACAGAUUACCAAUCCAUCUAUCUGACCAAAAAUUAAUACUUCCACCAUCGCCAACACAAAGUACAAUAUUAUUGGAAAAAUCAUUGUGGCUCCAAUCUCAGGGGAUAAGUGUUCUAGUGAUAAUUCCAUACCCAUGAUCAAUUACCCAAAGCAGAAACAGAAGGUAGGAUAUUGUUCGAAAUAGGAUCAUAUUGGACUUGCAGCACCUUUC
rnacentral:lncRNA from 1 species